rnacentral:rRNA from 1 species
UACGAAGGGGCUAGCGUUGCUCGGAUUUACUGGGCGUAAAGGGCGCGUAGGCGGAUGUUUAAGUCGGGGGUGAAAGCCCGGGGCUCAACCUCGGAAUUGCCUUCGAUACUGGACAUCUUGAGUACGGGAGAGGUGAGUGGAACUCCGAGUGUAGAGGUGAAAUUCGUAGAUAUUCGGAAGAACACCAGUGGCGAAGGCGACUCACUGGCCCGUUACUGACGCUGAGGCGCGAAAGCGUGGGGAGCAAACAGG